ensembl:lncRNA
CAAAUAUAUAUCCAAUAAUAUAUUCUUUAGAAUAAAAUGUCCUUCCUACUAAUACUACCUGCUUCUGACUAGCAUUAGCAAGUAGCAAAUAAUGACUCAUAACUGUGAUGUAAAGAAAUACGUCAUCACAAGAAAACAACACUCGUCAAGCAUUUUCUUCUGGUCUUUAGGAUCAGGUAUCUCAUGCAUUGGAAUACUGGUAGCGAUCAUUAACAGGCUGAAGGUGUGUGAACUGUAAGCGCAGAGUUCAACCCAGCAGAGUUUAAAGAUAGGCCGAACAUAAACAAGCUGUAACUCAUCAGAAGAUUCAGUUGCCAUGUGGCCUGCAGAUUUAUCUAGGUCACACUGUAGGUAAAGACACCUGAUAUGUAACCAAAGCUGAACUGAAGUAGAACAUACACGCCAUUCUGGUGUCAGUCAAUGUGUAGGUGUAAAUGAAACUAGUUAUACCGAUGGCUUGGGUGGCUCUGUAAAAGAGGGGAACCACACUUCUAAUCCAUGUUUGUGUUGCAUACAUCCUCUGGAGCGCGAUUGGCCACGCUCUAAAUUUAGAGAAAGCAGAAGGGAGGAAAUGAGAUGAGUGGGAUGAACAGGGAGAUGGAAAUCUGGAAGGAGGUCAGAAAAGAAUAUGACGUGUUUCUUUGUGACAGUGACAGAAAGAAACAAGUUCGUCUCUUGCUGUCAUCAAGCAACCACCUCCAGAUGAAGAGGGCUGGUCAGAACCGGAGAUGAAUCAGCUGGGCUUUUCACUCGUGCUGUCAGCUGCCAGACUAAAACCACGGAUGAAACCCAUAACCAGAUUUUCAUUAGAACUGGAAGCACCAUCAUGUAAGUUCCUUUUCAAAAACUAAACUGCCCUCUUUCUGAGAAUUUGACAACAUAUUUCCAGAGUUAAACCAACACCUAUCCAUUUCUCAGUAUACACUCAGUAAAUACUUUUGGAAAUCAGCCAGCACAUUUAAAUGUGUUCCUGUGAAUAAUCAUCACUUUAUUCAUUAUCUAUUUACAAUGCUGCAGUUUUCUCCAAAAAUAAAUAAAAAAAAUAAAUAAAUUGAGUGAUCA